rnacentral:ribozyme from 1 species
UGCCCAGCAACUCCUAUCCCUACACCCUCGCGGUACCGGCCGGAAACUAUGAGCAACCUUAGGGAAGAUCGGGUAACCAACCCCGGUGGGAACUUUGGUCGUAGGCUGACAGGGAAGG